AGAUUGUUGAUAAAAACAGAAAAAAAUUUAAAGUCGGAGAUUUCGUAAGAAUUAGCAAAGAAAAGAUGUUAUUUGAAAAAGGAUAUACACCCAAUUGGUCAACGGAAAUUUUUAAAAUCAGUAAGAUUAAUCUAACCAAUCCUGUAACAUUUCUGCUAGAAGAUAAAGAAGGUCAACCAAUCAAAGGAGCUUUUUAUAUUUGGGAAUUAUCAAAAACUCAAUAUCCUGACGUCUAUUUAGUUGAGAAAGUGAUUCGACGUAAAGGAACUAAAUUAUUUGUGAAAUGGUUAGGUUUACCAGAUAAUCAGAAUAGUUGGAUUGAAAUGAAAGAUAUUACCUAAUAAAUAAGAAAUAUAUAUACGAUAUAAUUAUUUAACGUCUAAUUUAGUUCCAUUUAAGAUGGCAACGAGUGUAGAACCUGUUAUAAAAAAAGUGCUGCAUUUUGAAAAAACCAUAAGCGAUAUUCGAUUACUAAUGAAACUGGAACUACUGAAAUUAGGACCGUGCCAGUUGAUGGAUAUAUUUCAUAAAUUACCGGAAACAUAUCAACAAGAUCAUGAUAUAAAGCUGAAUCUACCAUGUUUACAACAUUAUUAUAACAGUUUUGACGAAGAUCAGUUUGAUGGUCCUCCUUCAUCAAUAAAUAAUUGUGUUUCGUGUAUUUUAGAUGAUACAGGAAGCCAACAACAACAACAACAACAACAACAACAACAACAACAACCCACUGCGUUUCAAGUGUAAUGCCUCUUUUGAACUCAUCACUCAUCUUAUAUGUACAUCGUCUUCACUAGUGAAAGUCCUAACAACACAAGAUGGUCUCCUCUCUGGAAAAGUUUAUUUUUCAACGAUGUUGAUUACCAAUGGAAGAAGAUGAAUCUGGGUUAUUUGAGCAAUACUGCAAUAGAAAUAUUUAAAUAUGAAAAUGUUUCUAUAGCAAACUCUGUAAUAUAUUUUAAAUUAAGACUAGUUUUUACCAAUAGUAAUUAUAUUGAUACUGACUGGAAGAGACUUAUACUUAAUGAUCAUGAUGUAGUUUCAAUAAAAAAUUGUUUUAAUCAUGUUCCUACCUUUUUAGCAAUGUUUGGAAUUGUUUGUACAUGUUGGAUCGUUUUUAUGAUGUUCAUAGCGUUAGGUUUGGCUUAAAAACUGCAAUUAAAAAUUUAUUUAGGUGUAUGACUUUGUUAGUUUAAGUAUGUAGUUUGUUUUAUGUCUAAUAAAAAAUAAUAUUCAUUCUGAUUAUUUUUGUUAUCAUAUUUCCUGUCUAACGUUUUUUUCCUUAAAAACGUUAAAUUUUUAUCAGUUAUAUUUUGAAUUUUUUGAAUUUUUACGUAAGGAACCACAAUAUCCGGUUGCAAAGUUUAUGGAAUAUAAAAUCAUAUCGCAUCAAUGAUUAAUUCAUUUCUACUUCGACUGUCCGUGUAUGAAAGUAAUCAUGUUCAAGUGCUCUCAAUGCGAUAACAAGUUUACUCGCAAAGAUGCUUUAACACGUCAUGUAAAAAAACAUAGUGAUAAAUUAUCUAAACUCACUUGCACCGGAUGUAAAACGUCAUUUACGAGAUUUGAUAACUAUAGGCGUCAUAUUACAAAUUCAUCAUUGUGUUCAAUGGAUUCGGAUGAUAUGACUCCUAAAAAAGCCCGCCUGACAACUAGAACACCUUUACAAGAAGUUACUACUAACGCUCCAUCAUGUUCAUUUCAUCAAUUUUGUGAAAUAUGCAAUAGUCACUACAGAGGAUCCAGAUUAAACCAUUUACGUUCUUUAAAACAUAAAAGUGUCAUCUCCGCCAAAAUUAAUGAUGAUGAUGAUUUCGUUGAAGAAUAUCAAGUUGCCUUCAAAUCAAGAAUUACCUCAUACCGAUUGAAAAAUUCACAACUAGAUGACUUGGAAGUGUGCAAUUUUUUUGAAAGAAAUCAAGAUAAACUUAUCACUUUAAUAACUAGAAAACUGAGAGAAUUUAACCAACUUAAAAUUAAUUUCGAACUUUUUGCUAAAUAUAUUUUACCUUCUAAAGACAUUAUCGAAAUCAAAUCAUUCAACACUAAAAAUAUCAUCAUUUCAAUAUCGACAAAUAUUAAGGUAGAACUGGAAGAAAUAUGUGGCGUCAUAAAAAAACAAAAUGAGUGAAUUCUUGGAAAAAGAUAGUGGUUGGAUUUUAAUGGAAAUUUUGUUUUUGGAACUUAAUAUCAACAAAUUCAAUCCACUACGUGCAUCAACAUAUAUACCAUUACCGAAGGACAUAGCGAAGCGGAGAGCGGUAUCAAUAUUCAUAAUGAUGAUAAUGAAUGUUUCAAAUGGUCUGUUUUGGCACACCUUCAUUCAACUGAAGUAAAUGUUAAUCGACAUCGAGUUGAUGCUUAUCGUGAGUUUGAAGAGGAAUUAGAUUUUACAGAUAUUUCAUUUCCGGUUAAAUUAACUGAUAUUUUUAAAUUUGAAGCACUUAAUAAUAUUAGUGUAAAUGUCUAUGGAACAGAGCAGCGUUUUGAUCAUGAAAAAGGUAAAUGGGUAUCAGAUAUUAUAGGUCCCUUUAUUUAACUUCUAAGAAACGAGACAUUCAUGUAAAUUUAUUACUUAUCGUAGACGAUGAAAGAAUGAUCAAACAUUACUGUCUGAUAAGCAACAUUUCUCGAUUAAUAAGUUCACAACUUUCCAAACAUAAUCAUGCUAAAUUUAUAUGUAACGGUUGUCUAUUAUUUUUUUCGAGUGA